ensembl:snoRNA
GUAGAGACUAGAGUCUCACCUUGACAUAAUUCAUUGUCUUGGUGUGCUAGAGUCCUCUUAGAGUGAAGACUGGUCCUAUUCACCGACUGGCUCUUUUGUAGGCCAGUCAACCACAUGGGCAGUUACAAAU